rnacentral:rRNA from 1 species
GAUGAACGCUGGCGGCGUGCCUAAUACAUGCAAGUCGAGCGAACAGACGAGGAGCUUGCUCCUCUGACGUUAGCGGCGGACGGGUGAGUAACACGUGGAUAACCUACCUAUAAGACUGGGAUAACUUCGGGAAACCGGAGCUAAUACCGGAUAAUAUAUUGAACCGCAUGGUUCAAUAGUGAAAGACGGUUUUGCUGUCACUUAUAGAUGGAUCCGCGCCGCAUUAGCUAGUUGGUAAGGUAACGGCUUACCAAGGCAACGAUGCGUAGCCGACCUGAGAGGGUGAUCGGCAACACUGGAACUGAGACACGGUCCAGACUCCUAGGGGAGGCAGCAGUAGGGAAUCUUCCGAAAUGGGCGAAAGCCUGACGGAGCAACGCCGCGUGAGUGAUGAAGGUCUUCGGAUCGUAAAACUCUGUUAUUAGGGAAGAACAAAUGUGUAAGUAACUAUGCACGUCUUGACGGUACCUAAUCAGAAAGCCACGGCUAACUACGUG